ACCUACGGGAGGCAGCAGUAGGGAAUUUUGCGCAAUGGGCGAAAGCCUGACGCAGCAACGCCGCGUGUGUGAUGAAGCCCUUCGGGGUGUAAAACACUGUCAGUGGGGACGAAACUUGACGGUACCCACAGAGGAAGCACCGGCUAACUCCGUGCCAGCAGCCGCGGUAAUACGGAGGGUGCAAGCGUUGUCCGGAAUCAUUGGGCGUAAAGCGUUCGUAGGCGGCAUACCAAGUCUGGUGUUAAAGCCCGAGGCUCAACCUCGGUUCGGCACUGGAUACUGGUAAGCUAGAAUGCGGUAGAGGUGAAGGGAAUUCCUGGUGUAGCGGUGAAAUGCGUAGAUAUCAGGAGGAACAUCGGUGGCGAAAGCGCUUCACUGGGCCGUUAUUGACGCUGAGGAACGAAAGCCGGGGGAGCAAAUGGGAUUAGAUACCCGAGUAGUCUG
rnacentral:rRNA from 1 species